CCAUACUUCUCCUCUCCAUACUCAGUCCUUUCGGACUUCCCACCAUACCCAUAACCCCCACCACCUUCCUCUUCUCCAUGGCUAGUCUUCCUUCCAUACCCACCUGCUCCAUACUCAGACUCCGUCUUCAGCACAUAGCCGGACCCAUAUUCAGAACUUGGCUCCUCGUACUCACUCUUCCUCCCAUAAACCACAGGUUCACUAUAUUCCGACCCGGGUCUUCUGCCGUAACCGGAUCCGUACUCCGAAGGGGGUUCCUCGUAAUCACUCUUUCUAACAUACCCUGAUCCGUAUUCAGAGGUGGGUUCCUCGAACUGUGGUUUCCUCCCAUGGCCGGAUCCGUAUUCAGAACUGGGUACCUCGUAUUUUGGCUCCCGCCCAUACCCGGAUCCAUACUCGGAAAAUGGCUCCUCGUACUGCGGUUUCCUACCAUAACCAGAUACAUAUUCAGAACCUGGUGCCUGGUACUCUGGUUUUCGACCAAACUCCAACCCGGGCCUCUCGUAAGUGUAACCAUAUUCAGGUCUUCCAGAUCCGAACCCUCCAGGUGGACCACCACCAUACUCGCUCCCUCCACCAGGCUGAAACCCAUAAUUAGGCCUGGGCCCAUCAUACCCAUAUCCAACCGGCGGUGGCGCUCCAGCAUACACAGGCGG
rnacentral:lncRNA from 1 species